GUAAUCGAAUGCCGAAUAGAAUGUUGUUGAAAAAAAAUUAAAUUUGGGUCCUUGGACUAAGGCCACUACUAGGGCCCUAUGUGUAUUUUACAUACAACUCGAGUAAAUUUCAUCCGUAUGUCGUAAUUAUUGUUUCAUUUAGAAGGUAAUGGAAGGCCGAAUAGAAUGUGGCUAAAAACGUUU